ensembl:lncRNA
AUGAUGGUCCAGCAGGAGUACGGCCCUCAGGCAGCUAGGGAGACCAAGAUAUGCAAAGCUUUGCUACAAGUGAGUUUCCAGAUGAGCAACAGAGCUCAAAACUCCAGACUCUCAGCCUGCAACUCACCACCCCCAGCCAAAGCCAGCCACUUUUCAGGACUGAUCAGCCUCCCGAAGGGCCACUGGAGCACACAGUGGACAGAUGUAGAUGGUCUGAGACUAAAAAGAAAAGUAACCUCGGAGCAAGGGGGGACUUCACUUCAGCAUGAUCCAGAGUGUGGGGGAGCCGUGGCAGGUUGGCGUUUCAGGCUUAAGACUUUGCUUGUAUCUAUCUGGAAAAUGGAUACUGGGGGCCAGCUGGCCAGUCUCUGCUCUGGCGGUGUGCAGACUCAAUCUUAG